rnacentral:misc_RNA from 1 species
AAGAAUGCCCCGUUUUUUGAAAUGGGUUCUAUUCCCAAACCGUGUCUACAUACCUUUGUUGCUUUGGCGGGCCGCCUUCAGGCGUUGGCCUUGGCUAACUGUGCCCGCCAGAGGACCCAAACUCGUUUGUUUAGUGAUGUCUGAGUACUAUAAAAUAGUUA